GGGAAUGUAGCUCAGUGGUAGAGUACUUGCCUUGCAUCCAUGAGGCCCUGGGUUCGAUUCCUCAGCACCA
rnacentral:tRNA from 1 species